UUCCGGUUGAUCCUGCCGGACCUGACUGCUAUCGGAUUGAUACUAAGCCAUGCGAGUCAUUGUAGCAAUACAAGGCAUACGGCUCAGUAACGCGUAGUCAACCUAACCUAUGGACGGGAAUAACCUCGGGAAACUGAGAAUAAUGCCCGAUAGAACACUAUACCUGGAAUGGUUUGUGUUCCAAAUGAUUUAUCGCCGUAGGAUGGGACUGCGACCUAUCAGUUUGUUGGUGAGGUAAUGGCCCACCAAGACUAUUACAGGUACGGGCUCUGAGAGGAGUAGCCCGGAGAUGGGUACUGAGACACGGACCCAGGCCCUAUGGGGCGCAGCAGGCGAGAAAACUUUGCAAUGUGCGAAAGCACGACAAGGUUAAUCCGAGUGAUUUGUGCUAAACGAAUCUUUUGUUAGUCCUAGAACCACUAACGAAUAAGGGGUGGGCAAGUUCUGGUGUCAGCCGCCGCGGUAAAACCAGCACCUCAAGUGGUCAGGAUGAUUAUUGGGCCUAAAGCAUCCGUAGCCGGCUCUGUAAGUUUUCGGUUAAAUCUG
rnacentral:rRNA from 1 species